UACGUAGGGUGCGAGCGUUGUCCGGAAUUAUUGGGCGUAAAGAGCUUGUAGGUGGUUUGUCGCGUCUGCUGUGAAAAUCCGGGGCUCAACCCCGGACUUGCAGUGGGUACGGGCAGACUAGAGUGUGGUAGGGGAGACUGGAAUUCCUGGUGUAGCGGUGGAAUGCCGCAGAUAUCAGGAGGAACACCGAUGGCGAAGGCAGGUCUCUGGGCCAUUACUGACACUGAGAAGCGAAAGCAUGGGGAGCGAACAGG
rnacentral:rRNA from 1 species